UUGAAACACCAGUUCCUGUAUGAUCGCUGAAGUUAAGCAAUAUCAAGCCUGGUCAAUACUUAGAUGAGUGAUCAGUUGCGAAUACCAGGUGUUGUAAG